CCAAUGGCACUUUUAUGGAUUUGUGCUCUCACGCUAAUUUGCCCUGUUUAGUAAAUCUGGCCCUAAGUUUAAUACAGUUUGUUGUGUGGAAUUGUGUCUUGACUAAGUUAUGCAAUUAAAUGCAAUUAAUGUAGUUAUACUAAGUUAUGCAUUUUUUUUUUUACUUUACAGUGAAGUUUAUGCAUUAGAUUCUGAAGAUGAGGAGGAUGUGGUGAUGUUGACCUCACCUGUUUAUUCUGACAAUGAAAUUGAUGAUGACGUUUCUGCUGCUGACAUCAUCAGAACAUUUCAGAGGGAAAAUCUAAAUUUGGAAGAAAGGGUGAUUGUAGUGGCCAGAAGGAGGAAAAUUCUUCAUAGUGCAUGUACUGCACUGAAAACUAGCUACUUUGCAUGGCACAAAUCCCCACAAAUUGAAUUUGUAGGUGAAAGUGCUGAUGACUAUGGGGGACCUAGCAGAGAAUUUUUCAGGCUUCUGAUGCAGGGUGUGCAGUCAUCAUUCGGAGUUUUUGAGGGGAAAACAGGCCAGAUGUUUUUCACGUAUGACCAAGUGGCUGUGGAAAAAAAGCGUUAUUACACAGCAGGAAAGCUCAUUUCUUGGUCUCUAAUGCACGGUGGACCUAGUUUCAAUGCACUAAAUACCACAUUGUACAAAUUAAUGUGUGGCAAGGCAGAUUCUGCCGA